AGAGCAACAGUCACGGAGCUGUAGCCGAGCCAAAGUAGAACACUUUUUAAUUUAUUGACUUUAUCGGUUAUGAGGCGAAUAAAAACCAGAUCCAGAUCAUC